rnacentral:SRP_RNA from 7 species
UUGGUUCUCCCGCAACGCUACUCUGUUUACCAGGUCAGGUCCGGAAGGAAGCAGCCAGAGCAGACGACGUGUGUGCCGGGAUGUAGCUGG